rnacentral:rRNA from 1 species
AGCACCUGUGUUAGCGUUCCCGAAGGCACAGUCAGAUCUCUCUAACUUUCGCUACAUGUCAAGACCAGGUAAGGUUCUUCGCGUUGCAUCGAAUUAAACCACAUGCUCCACCGCUUGUGCGGGCCCCCGUCAAUUCAUUUGAGUUUUAGCCUUGCGGCCGUACUCCCCAGGCGGUCAACUUAUCGCGUUAGCUUCGAUACGCAAGAGUUAGACUCUCACACACCUAGUUGACAUCGUUUAGGGCGUGGACUACCAGGGUAUCUAAUCCUGUUUGCUACCCACGCUUUCGCACCUCAGCGUCAGUAAUGGCCCAGUGAGUCGCCUUCGCCACUGAUGUUCCUUCAGAUCUCUACGCAUUUCACCGCUACACCUGAAAUUCCACUCACCUCUACCAUACUCUAGCCAAACAGUUUCAAAUGCAGUUCCUAGGUUGAGCCCAGGGAUUUCACAUCUGACUUAUUUAACCGCCUACGCGCGCUUUACGCCCAGUAAUUCCGAUUAACGCUUGCACCCUCCGUAUUACCGCGGCUGCUGGCACGGAGUUAGCCGGUGCUUCUUCUGACGUUAACGUCAGGGCUACCUAGUAUUAAUAGAUAACUUUUCCUCACGUCUGAAAGUGCUUUACAACCCUAAGGCCUUCUUCACACACGCGGCAUUGCUGCAUCAGAGUUUCCUCCAUUGUGCAAUAUUCCCCACUGCUGCCUCCCGUAGGAGUCUGGGCCGUGUCUCA